GACGAACGCUGGCGGCGUGCUUAACACAUGCAAGUCGAACGGAAAGGCCCUGCUUGCAGGGUACUCGAGUGGCGAACGGGUGAGUAACACGUGGGUGAUCUGCCCUGCACUUCGGGAUAAGCCUGGGAAACUGGGUCUAAUACCGGAUAGGAGCCAUUUUUAGUGUGAUGGUUGGAAAGUUUUUUCGGUGUAGGAUGAGCUCGCGGCCUAUCAGCUUGUUGGUGGGGUAAUGGCCUACCAAGGCGGCGACGGGUAGCCGGCCUGAGAGGGUGGACGGCCACAUUGGGACUGAGAUACGGCCCAGACUCCUACGGGAGGCAGCAGGGGGGAAUAUUGCACAAUGGGCGCAAGCCUGAUGCAGCGACGCCGCGGGGGGGAUGACGGCCUUCGGGUUGUAAACUCCUUUCGCUAGGGACGAAGCUUUUUGUGACGGUACCUAGAGAAGAAGCACCGGCUAACUACGUG
rnacentral:rRNA from 1 species